GUGGAUACAGCAAUUUUAUCUCCACGGGCAGAGUUGCAAUAAGCCUGUUUACAUACUGACACCAACAACAUAGCAUUAGGUAUCUCUAUAACCAUCUGUGCUCGCAUGCUAAGUUGCUACAGUCGUGUCCGGCUCUUUGCGACCCCAUGGACUGUAGCCUGCCAGGAUCCUCUGUCCAUAGGAUUCUCCAGGCAAGAAUACUGGAGUGGGUUGCCAUUUCCUCCUCCACAGGAUCUUCCCAACCCAAGGAUUGAACUUGUGUGUCCUGAGGCUCCUGCAUUGCAGUUAUUUCAGAAGUGCUUGGACAAGAGUGGAAGGCCCAAACUUGAAGUGUUCCCUGAGCCUCAUGACCAGUGAACAUGCAUGUGAAAUUUCACUCAGAUAGCAUAAAAUGAUC
ensembl:lncRNA